UACGAAGGGUGCAAGCGUUAAUCGGAAUUACUGGGCGUAAAGCGUGCGUAGGCGAUUUGUUAAGUCUGUUGUGAAAUCCCCGGGCUCAACCUGGGAAUGGCAAUGGAUACUGGCAGGCUAGAGUGUGUCAGAGGAUGGUGGAAUUCCCGGUGUAGCGGUGAAAUGCGUAGAGAUCGGGAGGAACAUCAGUGGCGAAGGCGGCCAUCUGGGACAACACUGACGCUGAGGCACGAAAGCGUGGGGAGCAAACAGG
rnacentral:rRNA from 1 species